UGGAACCUGCCUUAUAGUGGGGGAUAGCCUUUCGAAAGGAAGAUUAAUACCGCAUAAGAUUGUAGUAUCGCAUGAUAUAGCAAUUAAAGGAGCAAUUCGCUAUAAGAUGGACCCGCGUCGCAUUAGCUAGUUGGUGAGGUAAUGGCUCACCAAGGCGACGAUGCGUAGCCGACCUGAGAGGGUGAUCGGCCACAUUGGGACUGAGACACGGCCCAGACUCCUACGGGAGGCAGCAUG
rnacentral:rRNA from 1 species